rnacentral:rRNA from 1 species
GACGAACGCUGGCGGCGUGCCUAAUACAUGCAAGUAGAACGCUGAAGGAGGAGCUUGCUUCUCUGGAUGAGUUGCGAACGGGCGAGUAACGCGUAGGUAACCUGCCUGGUAGCGGGGGAUAACUAUUGGAAACGAUAGCUAAUACCGCAUAAUAGUAGAUGUCGCAUGACAUUUGCUUAAAAGGUGCAAUUGCAUCACUACCAGAUGGACCUGCGUUGUAUUAGCUAGUUGGUGAGGUAACGGCUCACCAAGGCAACGAUACAUAGCCGACCUGAGAGGGGGAUCGGCCACACUGGGACUGAGACACGGCCCAGACUCCUACGGGAGGCAGCAGUAGGGAAUCUUCGGCAAUGGACGGAAGUCUGACCGAGCAACGCCGCGUGAGUGAAGAAGGUUUUCGGAUCGUAAAGCUCUGUUGUAAGAGAAGAACGAGUGUGAGAGUGGAAAGUUCACACUGUGACGGUAUCUUACCAGAAAGGGACGGCUAACUACGUG